rnacentral:rRNA from 1 species
UACGUAGGUGACAAGCGUUGUCCGGAUUUACUGGGCGUAAAGAGCGCGCAGGCGGUCGAUCAAGUCGAGUGUGAAAGCCCCCGGCUCAACUGGGGAGGGUCAUUCGAUACUGAUCGACUCGAAGGCAGGAGAGGGUAGUGGAAUUCCCGGUGUAGUGGUGAAAUGCGUAGAGAUCGGGAAGAACAUCAGUGGCGAAGGCAGCCUGCUGGGCUGUUGCUGACGCUGAGGCGCGACAGCGUGGGGAGCAAACAGG